CUGCAAAGCCAGCAGCAGCAGCAAAGCCCACAGAUGUGAAACCAGCUGAUGUGGGCAACAAGCGUGGCAUGUGGGAAGCAAAGAAGGGCUCUACGCCUGGAAAGGUGGCUGUGGGAGGCAAGUUUUCUCGUUAAUGCAGGAGUGAGACCCUAACCAUUGACAUCCCAGUUACACCUGUUCAAACUCACACUUCUGCUGCUCUACGCUCACACCUGUUCCCCUUCAGCACGCCCGUAUUUUGCAUGAGGUUCGCAUCACAAUGAGGGAGAAGGGAAUGACAUAAUGGGAUUCCUGUGUCAAAGUCUUCCAGCUCUAGCUUUACAGUAUCAGUACCUUUGCACUGCCACCUAUUUUGACUUAGCCAUGCUUCAAGAGUUUCAUCAAAAAUGAAAAGAUGAUGGCUUGACUUGAUAUGUGACUAUAAGAAAUUUAAAAGAAUAUUACACUUUCUAAUUGUUUUUACAUGGUUAAUACUUAGUAGUAAACUAAAACUGUCCAUUAGCUGUUGCUGUCACUAUUUUUCAUUCAAGCAUUCUGCAAGUCGGUUGUUUUGCUUUCAGCUCUCAUUAGCAGGUCUAUAAUUCAUAUGGUGCAUUUGGGCUUUGACAUUAUGUCAUAUAGCUUAUACCCAGUAAUUAGUAUUCUUGCUUUAUAGUGAUACAUGCACACUGCUUUUUGUGAUGAAAGUUAUGGUUUUGAUUCCAUAGAAAGUAUACUGUACUCCACAGCUGGAUAUUGGAUGAAAAGCUUGUAUAUAAUUUACUUGUUUUGUAGGUUUUAGUUUCUACUAAGGCACCCAUCAUAAAGGGUUUCUGACGUAUUUAAUAAGGCCUUUGCAUGUACUUAAUAUAGAUCAGUUAGACGUAAUUAACAAGUCUAUGGUUGUGAAGCAAUAAAGAAAUCUCUUUGGCUAAUGUUUACAAUUUUGAUAAAAGUUUGUAAUAUUUUUUAACAAUAAUAAGUUGUGCACAAACACUCAUAAAUAAACCAUUAAAUGAAUGACUUUGAUGUUCGCAAAGGAUGGCAAAACUAUCCGAGUGAUUCAGCUCUUCAAGAGAGAAAUAUAUCAACAUCUAUGUAGGGGUGGGGAACGCCAGGCCUCAAGGGCCGGUGCCCCUGCAGGUUUUAGAUCUCACCCUGG